AAUGAACGCUGGCGGCGCGCCUAAUACAUGCAAGUCGAGCGAGAAGACGUAGCAAUACGUUUGUAAAGCGGCGAACGGGUGAGGAAUACAUGGGUAACCUACCCUCGAGUGGGGAAUAACUAGCCGAAAGGUUAGCUAAUACCGCGUACGCUCCUUGGACUUUGGUUCAGGGAGGAAAGCGAUACCGUGGGUAUCGCGCUCUUGGUUGGGCUCAUGUCCUAUCAGCUUGUUGGUGAGGAACGGCUCACCAAGGCUUCGACGGGUAGCUGGUCUGAGAGGACGAUCAGCCACACUGGCACUGCGACACGGGCCAGACUCCUACGGGAGGCAGCAGUAAGGAAUAUUGCGCAAUGGGCGAAAGCCUGACGCAGCGACGCCGCGUGGGGGAUGAAGGUCUUCGGAUUGUAAACCCCUUUCGGGUAGGGAAGAUGGAACGAGCAAUCGUUCGGACGGUACCUCCAGAAGCAGCCACGGCUAACUUCGUGCCA
rnacentral:rRNA from 1 species